rnacentral:rRNA from 1 species
GACAGAGGGGGCAAGCGUUGCUCGGAAUCACUGGGCGUAAAGGGCGCGUAGGCGGGAUGGCAAGGUCGGUCGUGAAAUCCCCAGGCUCAACCUGGGAACUGCGUCCGAUACUGGAUGGCUUGAAUUCGGGAGAGGGAUGCAGAAUUCCAGGUGUAGCGGUGAAAUGCGUAGAUAUCUGGAGGAAUACCGGUGGCGAAGGCGGCAUCCUGGACCGACAUUGACGCUGAUGAGCGAAAGCCAGGGGAG